rnacentral:rRNA from 1 species
AAGUUUCAACAACGGAUCUCUUGGAUCUCGCAUCGAUGAAGAACGCAGAGAAAUGCGAUAAGUAAUGUGAAUUGCAGAAUUCAGUGAAUCAUCGAAUCUUUGAACGCAGAUUGCGCCCUUUGGUAUUCCGAAGGGCAUGCCUGUUUCGAGUGUCU